rnacentral:lncRNA from 1 species
UUGAUUGGUUUUGGGGGCAAUUGCUUAUAUACCCCUGAAAAGUUUUCGACUUUCUGAUUUUCUCAUCUUAGAAUUCUAAUAUUGAAAAUACUUUUUUUACGUUUUAACCUAUUUCUAAUAUACCCCUAGAGUUAAAAUCUGUUAAUUAACUCUACUAUUUCUGUAAAAUUACUAUUUUGUCCUUUCAAAUAUAUUAUUCCAUCAUCACCGACUUUCUUAUUUGCACUUAAAGUCAGAGGCACAAAAAGUAUUUUGAUUUUUGGUCUUUUCAAAUAUAUCCCUCAACCGUCACCAAUAUUUUUUAUUUGCCCUUAAGUUAAGGAUAAAUUUGGUAUUUUAAUUUUUUUAACCGUGGUAGAUAUUUAACUCACGUUUAAUCCAAGUUAACUUAACAUGAGAUAACUGCGGGAGUAUUUUGCAAUAACCGUGGAACAUAUGAGGAAUAUUUUAGAAAGAGAAAAAAAGAAUAAGUCGGAUAUUUUCAAACGUAUGAAAAAUAUAUUGACAAUUAUUCCUUGAUUUUAACUAGUAAUCAAGAAAAUAACACCCAUUACUCA